UGGGGAAUCUUGCGCAAUGGACGAAAGUCUGACGCAGCGACGCCGCGUGGGUGAUGAAGGCCUUCGGGUUGUAAAGCCCUGUGGGGCGGGACGAAUAAGUCGGAAAUAACACUUCCGAUGAUGACGGUACCGCCUUAGCAAGCACCGGCUAACUCUGUGCCAGCAGCCGCGGUAAGACAGAGGGUGCAAACGUUGUUCGGAAUUACUGGGCGUAAAGCGUGUGUAGGCGGCCUUACAAGUCGGAUGUGAAAGCCCCGGGCUCAACCCGGGAAGUGCACCCGAUACUGCAAGGCUUGAGUCUCGGAGAGGUUGGUGGAAUUCUCGGUGUAGAGGUGAAAUUCGUAGAUAUCGAGAGGAACACCGGUGGCGAAGGCGGCCAACUGGACGAAGACUGACGCUGAGACACGAAAGCGUGGGGAGCAAACAGGAUUAGAUACCCCCGUAGUCC
rnacentral:rRNA from 1 species